AUUAUUCGUGUGUGGCUGCUUAUUGGGCCCUCUAGCCUGUAGCCCGUAAGCCCAUGGCCUGGAUAUGCGGCGGCAGCAAACCCAAGCUUCCACCGUUGACCAUUCCACGGCGGCGUAGGCCGGCCGCCGGCAGCUUUUCCGAGUUGCAGAGCGAAUCCAGUAUUCCAGUAGCCAUGGCGGUGCGCUUGGUGGUGAGCCUGCGCGCGAUGAUGGCGUCGUGUCCCCCUCCGCGGUGCCGUAUGCUGCUGCGCGGCGGCGAGCCGGCGACUGCAGCUGGUUUAGUGACGGCAGCCCUUAUUGUUCAGGGGUAUAUCUCUCACCAGGAAUGUGUAGGUGAUGAUCCUGCGAAAAAGAUUCUAGUCUUGUUCUUGUCAAUAUGCUCUCCGAGCCAUUCAGAAGGAAAGAAUUGUACUUACAUGACCUUCAUCCUCAUGUCAUCCUUCUGCUUCCUCCACCAUAGCCUGUAGAAUUGUGAAGGAAAACAUACCAGUGCCUUGAAGGAGAUGAGAGAGCCAUUGAAGAUGCGCGUCUUGAGCCUGUCAUCAGCUUUUCAAGCAGCUUGGUGGCAUCGAAUCUGUUUUGACAUGGCAAAUCCUGACAUCAGUCAUCAUGUCUUCCUACCAUGCAGAGUGCAGUAGAUCUGAAAAGCGUGGAUGAUGAGCAGCAGCAUUCAGCGGAGCAUCUGCAGGUUGCAAGGUUGGAGAUGGGUGGUACAAUGAUUGAUUGCUGAUUUGCAGUAGAUGUGGUACGUACGUUCCUGUACAUCCUGGAAGAAAAGAACAGCAUCUGGUCCACACACAGCAAACACUGAACAUCAACAUCGGUGCUCGAUCUCAAGUCAAAAAGUUUGAGAAUCAAGGUAGUCGACCAUGCACACGGGACCUAGCUAGUACCUCUACAAGCUAGCAGGUUACAAGGAGUCAAGGACAAGCAAAAAAGGAAGGAAAUUAAAGAGAGAAAUACACUUACAUGACCUUCAUCCUCAUGUCAUCAUUCUGCUUCCUCCACCACAGCCUGUAGAUUUGUGAAGGAUCGGAAUGCACACCAAUGCCUUGAAGGAGAUGAGCGAGCCAUUGAAGAUGCGCGUCUUGAGCCUGUCAUCAGCAUUUCAAGCAGCUUGAUGGCAUCGAAUCUGUUCCGGAAAGGUCGGUAAAAUUCAAACAUCAUGUCAUGAAUACCAUGUAGCGUAAGUUAUGCAAUACAGUAAAAGGUAGGUAGAAGUUUUCCUCGCGUCUGAUAUUUCACUGUCAAUUAGUUCUCUUACAUGUUUUGUUUCUUGUUGGCCUCUAGCUAACAACCGUAAUCAGAUCAGUUUUGCAACCUCAAAGUAAUAUUUUCUUCUCUCUGCAUUACUAUCCUCUGUCUUAAUGUCUUAUAUUCAGUUACAGAUUAAUUAUGUAUUUUUCUGCUUCCAUGAAACAAAAAACAUUUACUACCCUUGGAAAAUUCUUAAACUGCACCUUCACAUAUACAGGAACUUUUGGACUGACAAGAACAAAGUUGAUCUAAAAGUACCUGGAAAAUCUGUAUGUAAUCCUAUCCUACCUUGGAAGGUCGCAUCCAUGAGGCUGCCAUCUCCAGUGCUGGUACAUGACAUCCUUCCUGCCAUAUUUAUCACAAGCCACCUCAGGGAAGAUGAAGGUGCACUUGAGCCCGGAGUACAAUGGCCGGGACACAUUGUCGUAAACCCACUGCCCCCUCGACCAGUUGCACUCCUCCUUGCUGGUGUCCCCGGCCUCAGUUGUCCCUCCAAUCCAUGGUUCUUGGCGUCCAUGCUCGACCGCCAUUUGCACCUGCGCUUCCUGGCCUCUGUCGAAGAGGAAGACGAUGGAGCUGGCGACGACAAAGAAGGCCACUAGGAAGCUCACGAUGCUCCUUACUCCAACCGGAGCAUGGAGCACCAUCAUCUUGGGAGUGGCUUGUGUCUUCAUUCUUUCUUCAGAAAAGUGUGGUGCAUAGCUUGGCUCCCCUCUUUUAUGAUCUAACUGUGCAUCAAUACGAAUAAUUAAGUGAUGUCGGAAUGCGUCUCUUCUCCACAUAGGUGCAGCGUGAAUUUCUUUAAAGGGUCUUCUUUCGGCAUAGGAAGAAAUGGGUGGUUCAAAAUACCAAAAAAGGGUUAGGUGGCAUCCUGUGGUCACGUUUGCUUUAUGGAGUAUCUUGUCCUAUCCAGUCGGCAGGGUACAAGGACGACGGAACUGUAGCAUUUUGGUGGCGCUGUCUGCAGUUCAUCAGCAAGGGGGAAUGAAGCUGCCAAUGCAAGCUGGAAGAAAGACAACAGUGUACAAGGACGACGCUAUUUCUGUCAGCUUCCUACAUUUUACUAGGCGCGGCUGCAGCGCAUGCAGUGACAAUAAUCUAAAGAGGACGUAUCAACCUCAACCACAUCAGUCACCAUCCAUGUCAUUUUGUCCUAAUAACAAACAGAUCAAUUUGUGGGACUCAGAAACUUUAUUCAGCAUCUAAUCCUUU